AGGGUUUGAUUCUGGCUCAGGACGAACGCUGGCGGCGUGCCUAACACAUGCAAGUCGAACGAAGCACUGUGGAUAGAGACUUCGGUCAAUUGAAGCUUUGACUUAGUGGCGGACGGGUGAGUAACGCGUGAGGAACCUGCCUUUCAGUGGGGGACAACAGUUGGAAACGACUGCUAAUACCGCAUAAUGUGUUUUGGGGGCAUCCCCGGAACACCAAAGAUUUAUUGCUGAAAGAUGGCCUCGCGUCUGAUUAGAUAGUUGGUGGGGUAACGGCCUACCAAGUCGACGAUCAGUAGCCGGACUGAGAGGUUGAACGGCCACAUUGGGACUGAGAUACGGCCCAG
rnacentral:rRNA from 1 species